UACGGAGGAUGCAAGCGUUAUCCGGAUUCAUUGGGUUUAAAGGGUGCGUAGGCGGGCUAUUAAGUCAGUGGUGAAAUCCUGCAUCUUAACUGCAGAACUGCCGUUGAUACUGAUAGUCUUGAGUUUGGUUAAGGUAGGCGGAAUGUGUAAUGUAGCGGUGAAAUGCUUAGAUAUUACACAGAACACCAAUUGCGUAGGCAGCUUACUGAGCCGACACUGACGCUGAGGCACGAAAGUGUGGGGAUCAAACAGGAUUA
rnacentral:rRNA from 1 species